CCUACGGGAGGCAGCAGUAGGGAAUCUUUCACAAUGGGCGAAAGCCUGAUGGAGCAACGCCGCGUGCAGGAUGAAGGCCUUCGGGUUGUAAACUGCUUUUAUAAGCGAGAAAUAUGAUGGUAACUUAUGAAUAAGGAUCGGCUAACUACGUGCCAGCAGCCGCGGUCAUACGUAGGAUCCGAGCAUUAUCCGGAGUGACUGGGUGUAAAGAGUUGCGUAGGUGGCAUAAUAAGUAGCUAGUGAAAUCUGGUGGCUCAACCAUUCAGACGAUUAGCUAAACUGUUAAGCUCGAGACCGUUAGGGGUAACUGGAAUUUCUAGUGUAGGAGUGAAAUCCGUAGAUAUUAGAAGGAACACCAAUAGCGUAGGCAGGUUGCUGGGACGGUUCUGACACUAAGGCACGAAAGCGUAGGGAGCAAACGGGAUUAGAUACCCCAGUAGUC
rnacentral:rRNA from 1 species